ACUGCUCAGUAACACGUAGUCAACAUGCCCAAAGGACGUGGAUACCUCGGGAAACUGAGGAUAAACCGCGAUAGGUCAUAAGUACUGGAAUGUUUUAUGGCUCAAAUCUACAUGGCCUCUGGAUUGGACUGCGGCCGAUCAGGCUGUUGGUGAGGUAAUGGCCCACCAAACCUGUUACCGGUACGGGCUCUGAGAGGAGGAGCCCGGAGAUGGGCACUGAGACAAGGGCCCAGGCCCUAUGGGGCGCAGCAGGCGCGAAACCUCUGCAAUAGGCGAAAGCUUGACAGGGUUACUCUGAGUGAUUCCCGCUAAGGGAAUCUUUUGGCAUCUCUAAAAACGAUGCAGAAUAAGGGGUGGGCAAGUCUGGUGUCAGCCGCCGCGGUAAUACCAGCACCCCGAGUGGUCGGGACGAUUAUUGGGCCUAAAGCAUCCGUAGCCGGUCUUGCAAGUCUUCCGUUAAAUCCACCUGCUUAACAGAUGGGCUGCGGAAGAUACUACAAGACUAGGAGGCGGGAGAGGCAAGCGGUACUCAGUGGGUAGGGGUAAAAUCCUCUGAUCCAUUGAAGACCACCAGUGGCGAAGGCGGCUUGCCAGAACGCGCUCGACGGUGAGGGAUGAAAGCUGGGGGAGCAAACCGGAUUAGAUACCCGGGUAGUCCCAGCUGUAAACGAUGCAGACUCGGUGAUGGGCCGGCUUCAUGCCGGCUCAGUGCCGCAGGGAAGCCGUUAAGUCUGCCGCCUGGGGAGUACGGUCGCAAGACUGAAACUUAAAGGAAUUGGCGGGGGAGCAC
rnacentral:rRNA from 1 species